AGCUUUGCGCAGUGGCAUUAUCGUACCCAAUGAGGUUUUACCGAGGGGCGAUUAUUGCUAGUUGAAAACUAAUCCCAAUACCCCGUCUAGUCCUCAUGAAAUACUGAGGGCUAAGACAAUUUUUGAAUGACCCUACCGGGU